UACGUAGGGGGCGAGCGUUGUCCGGAUUUAUUGGGCGUAAAGAGCGUGUAGGCGGCCAGGUAGGUCUGCUGUGAAAACUAGAGGCUUAACCUCUAGACGUCGAUGGAAACCGUCUGGCUAGAGUCCGGAAGAGGAGAAUGGAAUUCCUGGUGUAGCGGUGAAAUGCGCAGAUAUCAGGAAGAACACCCGUGGCUAAGGCGGUUCUCUAGUACGGUACUGACGCUGAGACGCGAAAGCGUGGGGAGCGAACAGG
rnacentral:rRNA from 1 species